rnacentral:rRNA from 1 species
UACAGAGGUGCUACAAGCGAUUGUUCGGAUUCUUAGGGCGUAAAGGUGCGUACGGUAGGCGUGGUAGAUCGGGUGUGAAAUUCGGAGUCUUAACUCCGAAACUGCAUUCGUAUACUGACCGUGCUUGAGGACUGGGAGAGGAGGUACGUAGGAAUUUGACGGUGAGCAGUAGAAAUGCGUAGAGAUGAUGAAGGAAGACCAGUG